rnacentral:rRNA from 1 species
GUGGGGAAUAUUGGACAAUGGGGGGAACCCUGAUCCAGCCAUGCCGCGUGUGCGAAGAAGGCCUUUUGGUUGUAAAGCACUUUAAGCGAGGAGGAGGCUACCGAGAUUAAUACUAUUGGAUAGUGGACGUUACUCGCAGAAUAAGCACCGGCUAACUAUGUGCCAGCAGCCGCGGUAAUACAGAGGGUGCAAGCGUUAAUCGGAUUUACUGGGCGUAAAGCGCGCGUAGGUGGCCAAUUAAGUCAAAUGUGAAAUCCCCGAGCUUAACUUGGGAAUUGCAUUCGAUACUGGUUGGCUAGAGUAUGGGAGAGGAUGGUAGAAUUCCAGGUGUAGCGGUGAAAUGCGUAGAGAUCUGGAGGAAUACCGAUGGCGAAGGCAGCCAUCUGGCCUAAUACUGACACUGAGGUGCGAAAGCAUGGGGAGCAAACAGGAUUAGAAACCCUUGUAGUCC